AGUCAGGGGCCAGUUGCAUUUCUCAUGCAUCCAAGAGAAGUAAUGUCGGAGAGUUAUAUAGCCUUGGUUCUGUAAGCAAGCAGCUUAUGGGCAGCAUGGCACACAGUCCCUCAAGGCCGAACAUGAGGGUGAGGGGUGGGUGUGAGGAAAGACAGCUCUGAACAUAAUGAACCUGCCCCAUCCUUACUGGCCGUGCCUUCUGGAUAAGAAUUGGAAUGAAUAGUUAACACAGAGCCCUUACCGGGCCCUGCCCUGCCAGAGACUUGUCCAAACUCACGGGUGAGUUUCAGAGGCAAGAGCAGGGCCCAGGAGUCUGAGGCCUAGCAUUCUACUGCAUCCAAUUUUGGAGCCUUCGUGAUAAUUCAGCUAUGGAGCAUGGAUAUCCUCCACUGUGCUUCUCAAGGUCAUCGGAUACUGUCUCCCUCUGUGCCCACAGUGACCCUGGGAUAGAGCCAAGGGGGCGGUGGGAAGGUGUGUGCCCAUCGUCUUGCCCAUGGCCAGCUAACAUUGACUGCCCAGAAAGCGUCAUCUCCAAAUCUUUGUGGUUAAUGAGCUUAAGCUUAGUUCAUGCAAUGAGCUCAAAAAAGAAACCCACAUGUUUCGCAUUGUGAAAUAGGAAGCAUAAAGCCUUCCACUGAUAAAGGGACGCAGUGGAGAGGCAUGCGAACUUUAUCUGUGUCUGGUGUCCCAGACGUGAGAUUUUUUUUUUUUUUAGGACCACAUCUGUGGCAUGUAGAAGUUCCAAGGCUAAGGGUCCAGUCAGAGCUGCAGCUGCCAGCCUACGCCAUAGCCACAGCAACAUGAGAUCUGAGCCGAAACUGCAACCUAUACCACAGCUUACGGCAACACCAGAUCCUUCACCCACUGAGUGGGAGCAGGAAUUGAUCCCACAUCCUCAUGGAUACUAGUUGGGUUCAUUACCGCUAAGCCACAGAUGGGAACUCCCUCGGGUGAUUUUUUAAAAAUUAAAUCAGAAAUGAUUUAAUCAGUAUAAAUGACCCAGUCAUACUUACAUAUAUAUUCUUUUUCUCAUAUUAUCUUCCAUCAUGUUCUACCCCAAAAGAUUGGAUAUAGUUUUCUAUGCAAUAGGACCUCAUUGCUUAUCCAUUCUCACUGUAAUAGUUUGCAUCUAUAACCCCAGACUCUUAACCCAUCCCACUCCCUUU
rnacentral:lncRNA from 1 species